UAACAUGCUCAGUCAGUAGAGCAUGAGACUUUUAAUCUCAGGGUUGUGGAUUUGGGUCCCACAUUGGGCAAAA